AGGAAAGCGAGGGAUUAAAGGGAAAAGAGCUUAGCUCCCUCGUCCCCCUCCCUCGAGGGAUCGAGAUCCGCCGCACUCCGUCCGGCCGUAUGGCUCCGGGCCCGGCGCCGCCCGGCAGUGGAUUGGCCAGAGCUCCCACAGGGCCCGGCAAUGGACUGGCUCCGCCACUGUCUGCACCUCUCCCCCCUUCUACACCAGGCUGAGCCACCUGCCCGCCCGCCUGGAGCUCCCCCAUCCGCAGCCGCCCGGAUCUUCCCCGCUGCGGCCGCUGCCCGGAGCUCGUUGACUGCAAUUCCCCAUCUGCGGCCGCCCGGAUCUCCCCCGCCACGGCAGCUUCAGAUUUCAGAACAGGACCGUCAGGAACAAAAAUCCCACCAUGCUCUUAUGCCAGCGCAGCCGCCGUCGCUAGCGGCCGCUGGCCGGCGGCGUACCCUCCGGUGCUAUAUCCGCUGCUCGAGCGUGCAUGAUCUGGAGAGGUCCACUGCCCCUCGCCCAGGCUCAUCGCUCCCGCCGCUGCGGGUGGCGAAGUGGGUGGUGCUGGUGCGGCACAGGCAGAGCUCUUGUGAUAUGUAGUAUUUGCUGAUAUCUUCCUAUACGUUUCAUAUUUGGGUGGUAAUUGUUGUUUCCUUCAUAAUGGUGAUGGAGUAAUGGUCUUUUCUGGCACUCAUCUUUGGGGAAUUGUCUAUGUUCUGAACAGUGAUCAAUUUCCUCUAGAGUUGCAUUACUCAUAGUCGGUUGAUUAUUUUCAGGUCUGGGAGCAACAUAUAUCUGAUCGAGCAGUAUAUAGAAGGAUCAUAGAAGCUUUCUAUCAACUUAUAAUAGCAGGAAGCUUUGCUCAACUCUAGGAUUGUAACUUGUGUUUUGUUUGUAGUGCAUUCUGCGGGGACAGUGUUCUUAGUUUCAGCCACAGCGGUGCAGAACAGUUGCCUGCUGAUGCCCAGUAGCACAGAUCUUGGCUCAAGUAGCAUUCUUGAGCUUAAAAUGAAGUUUAAGGCACUGUAUUUUACUGAUGAGAAUUUGCACUUCUGUAUGCAUACAAUUGUUUCAUCCUUAAUAUGUCUUUUGAGAAUUUGCACUUUUGUAUGCAUACAAUUGUUUCAUCCUUAACAUGUCUUUUGCUAUAUCGUUAACUCAUUCUUGUGUUUUGCUAAUAUGGUUCAACAUCCAUAGCAUUCAAGGUUCAGGUUUUAACUGCUGUAAAUAGUGUAUGGUUGUUUAAUCUAUUUUAGGGCAGGUAAAACCUUAACCAUUUGUCUGCCAAUAAACUUGAAGUCUAUGGCUUGUAGGCACAUCAGCCUAUUGAAGUAUUCUGUUCUAUGAUUUUCAGUGUCUUCAGAGUGAUUUUUUUAUUUGCAAGCUUGUUGUUUGAUGAAGCCACCAAUCUGGUUAACUACAUGCUUGAUUUGAGGGUGGAGAGAAGGCAUCCAUUGAGUCCCGUAGCAUGUGAGUUUGAGGAGUGUGGUGGACACAUGAAGCUAGCUGACACCCUUAAGGUUAUAUGUGACAUUUACGAAAAGUGUCCUGGGGAACAUACCUCUGCUGAACAGAGAAUGGUUAGGGAAAGCAGUAACUUUUGAUGUGAUGUUCCUUAUUACUAUGCAUACCUUUGCAGUGGAGAAUAUGGUAAAUUAUCCUGCUGAAAUUAUAUGGAGGGCCAAAUAACUGCACUUGACAAUUGCAUGAUGAUGAUGAACUCAUGAAUGAGUUAGGGAACUGGUGCUUGUGGAAAUGCCUGUGUGCGACGAGCUGGUGAUUCUGAUUUCCAGGGACUGCUAAAGAAUGAAGGGAAGGAGAGCUACGGUGUUUUGUACAAGCAGUGGCAGAAGAAUGCUGCCAAUUUCAGCAUUGACGAGCACUACCCAGUGCGGGAGCUAUGGGACCGUGCACGGAGCUGCUGGGAGAGGAUUCCAGCACACGAGGGCAAAUCGGUACUUGUAUCUGAAGGUCAUUGGCCUGGCUGGAAACAAGUUGGGAGAUGUGAUUCCUGGCUCCAUCGCAAACCUUUUGAUGAGUAUGGAGUACUUGAGCAUAAGUAGCAACAUACUACCAUAUUAUGAAGCGAAGGUAACAUAUUAUGAACAAACGUAUAAUAAUGUGAGAGUAAGUAA